GGUCCCGUAGCUCAGUUGGAUAGAGCAUCUGCCUUCUAAGCAGAGGGUCGCAGGUUCAAGUCCUGCCGGGAUCG
rnacentral:tRNA from 1 species